rnacentral:rRNA from 1 species
AACGAACGCUGGCGGCAUGCCUAACACAUGCAAGUCGAACGAGACCUUCGGGUCUAGUGGCGCACGGGUGCGUAACGCGUGGGAACCUGCCCUUAGGUUCGGAAUAACUCCCCGAAAGGGGUGCUAAUACCGGAUAAUGUCUUCGGACCAAAGAUUUAUCGCCUUUGGAUGGGCCCGCGUUGGAUUAGCUAGUUGGUAGGGUAAAAGCCUACCAAGGCGACGAUCCAUAGCUGGUCUGAGAGGAUGAUCAGCCACACUGGGACUGAGACACGGCCCAGACUCCUACGGAAGGCAGCAGUGGAGAAUAUUGGACAAUGGGCGAAAGCCUGAUCCAGCAAUGCCGGGUGAGUGAUGAAGGCCUUAGGGUUGUAAAGCUCUUUUACCCGGGAUGAUAAUGACGGUACCGGGAGAAUAAGCUCCGGCUAACUACGUG